rnacentral:rRNA from 1 species
GGGUUUGAUCCUGGCUCAGAACGAACGUUGGCGGCGUGGAUGAGGCAUGCAAGUCGAACGUGAAAGCCGCAAGGUGAGUAGCGUGGCGGACGGGCGAGUAACACGUAAUCAAGCUGCCUGCGAGACGGGGAUAACCUCGGGAAACCGAGGCUAAGACCCGAUGGUCUACCGGUACUGCAUGGUUCUGGUAGUAAAUGGGCGGGAUCCUCCGGGAUCGCCUGCUCGCAGAGGUGAUUGCGGCCCAUCAGCUAGUUGGUAGGGUAACGGCCUACCAAGGCAACGACGGGUAGCCGGCCUAAGAGGGUGGUCGGCCGCACUGGGACUGAGACACUGCCCAGACUCCUACGGGAGGCUGCAGUCGAGAAUCUUCCGCAAUGGGCGAAAGCCUGACGGAGCGACGCCGCGUGGAGGACGAAGGCCUCGGUUGUAACGUACCUCGUCACGACGUUAAGAAGGACGCGAUGU